rnacentral:tRNA from 1 species
GAGGGUAUAGCUCAGUGGUGGAUCGUGUGCCUAGCAUGCACGAGGUCCUGGGUUCAAUCCCGGUGCCUCCA